GGGCAGGGGGCUAUCUCGUCGACGAAACUUUCUUACACCUUGCAUUCACCGUAAGAAGUUGAGUGGCGGACGGGUGAGUAACACGUGGGUAACCUGCCUAAAAGAAGGGGAUAACACUUGGAAACAGGUGCUAAUACCGUAUAUCUCUAAGGAUCGCAUGAUCCUUAGAUGAAAGAUGGUUCUGCUAUCGCUUUUAGAUGGACCCGCGGCGUAUUAACUAGUUGGUGGGGUAACGGCCUACCAAGGUGACGUAGCCGAACUGAGAGGUUGAUCGGCCACAUUAGGACUGAGACACGGCCCAAACUCCUACGGGAGGCAGCAGUAGGGAAUCUUCCACAAUGGACGCAAGUCUGAUGGAGACGCCGCGUGAGUGAAGAAGGUCUUCGGAUCGUCUCUGUUGUUAGAGAAGAACACGAGUGAGAGUAACUGUUGAUUCGAUGACGGUAUCUAACCAGCAAGUCACGGCUAACUACGUGCCAGCAGCCGCGGUAAUACGUAGGUGGCAAGCGUUGUCCGGAUUUAUUGGGCGUAAAGGGAACGCAGGCGGUCUUUUAAGUCUGAUGUGAAAGCCUUCGGCUUAACCAGUGCAUUGGAAACUGGAAGACUUGAGUGCAGAAGAGGAGAGAGGAACUCCAUGUGUAGCGGUGAAAUGCGUAGAUAAAUGGAAGAACACCAGUGGCGAAAGCGGCUCUCUGGUUGUAACUGACGCUGAGGUUCGAAAGCGUGGGUAGCAAACAGGAUUAGAUAGUCCACGCCGUAAACGAUGAAUGCUAGGUGUGGGAGGGUUUCCGCCCUUCAGUGCCGCAGCUAACGCAAUAAGCAUUCCGCCUGGGGAGUACGACCGCAAGGUUGAAACUCAAAGGAAUUGACGGGGGCCCGCACAAGCGGUGGAGCAUGUGGUUUAACAACGCGAAGAACCUUACCAGGUCUUGACAUCCUUUGACCACCUAAGAGAUUAGGCUUUCCCUUCGGGGACAACGUGACAGGUGGUGCAUGGCUGUCGUCAGCUCGUGUCGUGAGAUGUUGGGUUAAGUCCGCAACGAGCGCAACCCUUGUUGUCAGUUGCCAGCAUUAAGUUGGGCAGCGAGACUGCCGGUGACAAACCGGAGGAAGGUGGGGACGACGUCAAGUCAUCAUGCCCCUUAUGACCUGGGCUACACACGUGCUACAAUGGACGGUACAACGAGUCGCGAGACCGCGAGGUUUAGCUAAUCUCUUAAAGCCGUUCUCAGUUCGGAUUGUAAGCUGCAACUACAUGAAGUCGGAAUCGCUAGUAAUCGCGAAUCAGCAUGUCGCGGUGAAUACGUUCCCGGGCCUUGUACACACCGCCCGUCACACCAUGAGAGUUUGUAACACCCAAAGCCGGGGGUAACCGCAAGAGCCAGGGAGGAAGCG
rnacentral:rRNA from 1 species